UUAAACUGAAGAGUUUGAUCAUGGCUCAGAUUGAACGCUGGCGGCAGGCUUAACACAUGCAAGUCGAGCGGUAACAGGGGGUGCUUGCACCCCGCUGACGAGCGGCGGACGGGUGAGUAAUGCAUAGGAAACUGCCCAGUAGUGGGGGAUAGCCCGGGGAAACCCGGAUUAAUACCGCGUACGCCCUUCGGGGGAAAGCAGGGGAUCUUCGGACCU
rnacentral:rRNA from 1 species